GAUGAACGCUGGCGGCGGGCCUAAUACAUGCAAGUCGAGCGAAAGGACGAGGAGCUGUGUCCUCUGCCGUUGGCGACGGGCGGAGGAGUAAGACAUGGAUCUCCUACUGAUAUGACUGGGAUAACAUCGGAAAACCGCUGCUACUACCGGAUAAUAUAUGGUACCGGAUGGUGCAAUAGAGAUUGACGGUUUUGGUGAUAGUCUUAGAUGGUUCCGGGCUGCAUUAGCUAGUUGGUAAGGUAACGGCUUACCAAGGCAACGAUGCGUAGCCGACCUGAGAGGGUGAUCGGCCACACUGGAACUGAGACACGGUCCAGACUCCUACGGGAGGCAGCAGUAGGGAAUGUUCGGCAAUGGGCGAAAGCCUGACGCAGCAACGCCGCGUGAGUGAUGAAGGCCUUCGGAUCGUAAAGCUCUGUUAUUGGGGAAGAACAGAUGUGGAAGUAGACAUGGACGUCUUGACGGUACCUAAUCAAAAAGCCCCGGCUAACUACGUG
rnacentral:rRNA from 1 species